CUGGAACCUUUUGGGUUCCUGGUAUGGAUGAAGGUGUCUGAGGGGGGACUGUCUUGGUGGAAGAGCCUCCUCCUUCCCUGCUGUUGACUUAGGUGGGCGAGAAGCCGGGACCAGCCCAAGUGCAACAGAUGAGGAAACAGCCAACCGCAGAGCCGUCCCUGGCCCACAGUGGGGGUGGGGCUGGACCAGGUGCACGUCCGUGGCGGGGCUGGGCGGUCUCGGGUCAUUACUGAGGGGACUGAGGGCUUGCUGACCCGCCGGGGUGCAGGCAGCUGGGAGCGGGCCAGACCAUCCACGCUCAGACACAGUCUGGAUUUAGAGUUGAGUGCCUUGGGCCUGUUUGGAAAAUAAGAUACUUUCUCUAGGAAAUAUCCUGGACCUGCCACAGAGACAAGUGAGGAAAGAAGAGGGUGAGAGUCUGAUCAUGUAUGUGUGAAUGUCCAUCAGGUUCUAGACUGGAAAAUGCCGUAUCUUUGGGUUUAAGGUCAUAUUUUCUGACUUGAAGAAUGAAUUGCAAAGUCAGAUUUAGAGGACUGUCACUUUUUCAUCAGGAAGAUCUAACCUGGAGGACACAGACAGCAGGAACUUCCCAGCCAAAGUGCCCAGGGAUCAUGUGGUACGUGACGACCAUCACUUACUAUGUCUUAAAAUAUGAAGACAUCGAAAGAACUGUAAGUGGGGACUCAAACAGAUAUUUGCACACCAUUUCACUGUGCAUUAUUCACAACAGCCAAAAGGUGGAAACAACCCAGAUGUCCAUCAACAGAUAUGAAUGGAUAAACAAAUGUGGCCUAUCCACACAAUGGAACACUAAACCUUAAAGGAGAACAUUCUGACACCUGCUACAACUUGGAUGAAGCUUGAAGACUUACACUGAAUGAAAUAAGCUAUAACAAAAGUCAACUGUUGUAUGAUUCUAUUCAUAUAAGGUGCCUAGAGUGGUCAGACUCAGUGGACAGAAAGUAGAGUGGUGGGUGCCAAGGGCUGAAGGAAGAGGGAGAGAGAGUCAGUGUUCGAUGGGGGCACAGUUUCGGUUUGGGAUGAUGCAAAAGUUCUGGAGAUGGACGAUAUGAUGGCUGCACAACCAUGUGAAGGUCUUUCAUACCACUGAAGUGUACGCUUAAAAACAAUUAAAUGCUACAGGCCUCUCCCAGGAAGGGGUCAACCAGAAAGCAGGAAAGAACACACAGGCUUGUGAACGCAGAGCAGCGUGGAGUGUAAAGUGCCUCAGCCAGUCAACGAAAAUAAGAAAGGAGCCCAAUGUCAAAGCUGAUGUUGUCGUGCUCAUUUCCAAGUGCUGUGGGGCUUUUUCAUGUUGGUUUCAUGGAAAUUUAUGUUUGUGGAGAAGACUGUGUUUGCUACAGGAUCUUGCUGUGUUCAUUUAGCCCAGUAAUAAAAACCAUCU